rnacentral:lncRNA from 1 species
CUGAAGCUCGACUUGCUUCAUAUCGAAACUCCAGAUUUGGCAACCUUACGCAAGGAGUGUCACAAGCCCGAGGAAUUCUUUCGAAAUCUGAAGUCAAAGCCUUUUUCGCGACACGAAGUAGUGAAUAGCAAGAGGUUUGUGAACUCCAUAAGCCAUGACGAAGAAGCUGAUGAUAAUUCCGAAAAAGAAGGGGACUCCCUUGACGAAGUUUAUGCACUCCGAUCUUCCGAAAUUAGUAAAUGCUGGAAUUGCGAAGAACAGGGCCACAAAUACCAGGAAUGCCUAAAACCUCGUCGUAUUUUCUGUUAUGGUUGUGGUGUACCUGAUACGUACAAGCCCAACUGUGCAAAGUGUAAAUCGACUACGGAAAACGUAUCCCAGGAUGUC